rnacentral:rRNA from 1 species
UACGGAGGGGGCUAGCGUUGUUCGGAAUUACUGGGCGUAAAGCGCACGUAGGUGGCUUUGUAAGUUAGAGGUGAAAGCCCGGGGCUCAACUCCGGAAUUGCCUUUAAGACUGCAUCGCUAGAACGUCGGAGAGGUAAGUGGAAUUCCGAGUGUAGAGGUGAAAUUCGUAGAUAUUCGGAAGAACACCAGUGGCGAAGGCGGCUUGCCAGAACGCGCUCGACGGUGAGGGAUGAAAGCUGGGGGAGCAAACCGG